rnacentral:rRNA from 1 species
UACAGAGGAGCCAAGCGUUGUCCGGAUUGACUGGGCGUAAAGCGCACGCAGGCGGACGCGCGCGUGGGGUGUGAAAUCUGGCCGCUUAACGGCCAGGCGCCAUCCCAUACGGCGCGUCUGGAGCCUUGCAGAGGUCGGUGGAAUUGCCGGUGUAGUGGUGAAAUGCGUAGAGAUCGCAGGAACACCCAGGGGGGAACCAGUCGACUGGGCAAGUGGCUGACGCUGAGGUGCGAGAGCGUGGGGAGCGAACCGG